rnacentral:lncRNA from 1 species
GCUUUCUCGAGUGGGGUCGCCCUGGUUCUUCAAUGGGCGGCGUGUCGGCGGCCAUUGCGAGAAGACGCCUUUCCCACCCGUUGAGCUAGGAACGCUGUUCCAGCCCCAGCUGCCCUUCGUUACAGGGACACGUGGCCUCCAUCAGAAAUGGAGGGAGGUCGGGCCGGUAUGUCUGCAGAGAGCGAGAUUCCAAUGGGCCGCAGGCUCCACUGUUCCUGCGGAGUCAUCGCCCUGAUCCCGGGAGCCUGAGACCUCUCUACCUAACAAAACACGAUCUAGAUCACAACCAAGCAACAUAAAGUCAUCUUAACCUGUUCCCGUGCUGUUUCCUGAUUUUGGUCAUUAAAAUCAGACACAUCCCUAGCGACAGAAUUGAGAGGCCAUGUGCAGAUUUAAAAUACCCAUUUCUGUAACUCACUCAUUUUUCAUUUUCAAUAUGCUGAAAACCCCUGUAAGACUGAAGUGACUUUGAACAUCCUAAUCAUCUCUGGUUGUGUUUCGUGACCCAAAGCUUUGAAUACUGGGGAAAGAAUCAGCAUGAUUUAUCGUAGAAAGAAGUGAGACUUGGACUGGACUUCAUACAGAUAUGCAGAAUUUCUGAAGGCAGAAUUGGAAGAAGGAUUCUUGAGAUGAAGAAAAGGACUCACAUUGUGGAAGAAGAGAACUGAAUUGUGCUCCCAUCUCCACACACGUUGACAUACACGCAAUAGUAAAUGUGAAAAUUGAAUGAAAAUGAGGACAUGACGGCUCCAAGGUCACAAGCUAUCAACAAGAAGGCAGAUGUCCUGCAGCCCGCUAUUAUGGAUGGAGGACCUUGGGGAUGGCUGUCCAUGCAGCCUGCUGGCAAGUCUCUGUUAUUCUUUAAUCAUUGAUUCAGGUAAAAUCUUAUCCUUCUCAAGAACUCUGAUGCUUUUGAUGACUGGUAGUCUUGCCAGCUUAAAGCAAAAACAGAUUCCUGUUUUUGUGAAAGAUAGGAAAGUCUAAGAUGUAUGAAAGUCUGAGAAUGUAGUUACGAAGGCCUGAGGAUAAAAAGGCUUAAAUGAUGAUAAAGUGAGUUGAGACAUUAAAAAGACUGAAAUAUGUUCCGGAUUUCUCUAUUUCUCAUGCUACUGUUCAUAAUAAAGUUCACCAAUAUCACUAUAGGAUCAUAACUACAAAGUCAAGAUUAAGAUGCUUUUCAUUGUCCUAAAAAAAAAAAAUCUGUCAAUUUUAAAAUGGUAAUGCUUUUAGCCAAGUUGCUUCUAACAUAAAUAUGCUGCUAAUGUGUCUAAUACUUAUGUUUCUACAAACUCUAAUGAUUCUUGUAAGUUCCAGGGAGCUAAAUUGGAUCCAAACAAACAGGUCAGAUUCACUCCAGGUAAUAUUCAAUCUUUUCCUGGUCCCAGGACUCCCUUCCCUCAUGUUAGGACUCCUUGGGAACCCCUCCCUCAUCUUACAAUCUUCCCCUCAAGUGACAGGACCUAAGAAAAAAUUUUUUUUCUAAACUUAACCUUGUCCUCUGCUCUGUCAGCAUCUUACCAGGUCUAAGAAGCACCAGGGAGUUCCGUACAGCCUGAACUGCAAUGAAACAACCAGCUUCCCCAGGACAUGGCAGCACCCCAACCUUCUCGGGUCCCCCAAAGAUGGUCAACGCCCCCCACGUCAGCAGGAAGCAGUCUUGAGAAUUCAACACCCUUAUUCCUUAACCUGCCAUGUCUAACACCCCACCUUUUUCUAAUAAUAAGUAGAGGUGGGAAUGAAAGGUUUAGGCAUUAUGCUGGCCUGCCCCUGUUACCUGGUGGAACAGGCAGUACCCUGGUCAGCCCAAGGUUCCAUGGGAACUAAUUCUGCACACAGAUACAGAGGACCCCUUUAAAAGAUAGGUCCCUGCCCAUUUACGCUCUGUUUCUGUUCUGUUUCCUCGCUCUGCUUUCUCUCUACUCUGUCUCCUACCUAUGCGCUCUCUCUGUCUCUCUAAUCUCUAACCGGCCAUGGCGGUCAGCCAUUUACCCCUGUUCCUCUUCUUAGUCUCCCCAUUCUGUUGGGCCUUAUAAUAAACUUAUAAUCUUAUGUCUCAUGUCUCAGCAUUUCUCUUUUCUUUUUUUUUAAACAAAAGAAUAACACCAAGACUGUAGAGAGGAAAGCCUGUCUAUGGGGAAAACAAAAAUAAUAGGUAAAAUAUUUUGAUUGGAG